rnacentral:misc_RNA from 1 species
AAGCCCUUCACCAAUUCGUGACAUGGAUGCUUCAGCCUCAGGGGACAGUUCGACCUCGCAUAGAUGAUAUCAUAAUUCAUGUUGACAAAUUGAUCUCAAAAUUCUCCCGUUGAAAAGAUAGGACAAGAUUUGUGGGGUUAGUUUACAGAUGAAUCAUCUUAUAGCAUCACUUAGCUUUUGUUACAUAAUUUACUGCAAAGUUACUAUUCAUUCUUGACUUUUCCCUGUUGAAAUGUGA